GUUAAAACUUUCAACAACGGAUCUCUUGGUUCCGGCAUCGAUGAAGAACGCAGCGAAAUGCGAUAAUUAAUGUGAAUUGCAGAAUUCAGUGAAUCAUCGAGUCUUUGAACGCACAUUGCGCCCCCUGGUAUUCCGGGGGGCAUGCCUGUCCGAGCGUCAUU
rnacentral:rRNA from 1 species